UGCCUGCAUCAGUGAAGAAUCCAGCGGAGUACUUCGCAAGAGCUGAAAAUCGCCACCGACAGAAAAAACGACCAGCUGAGCCUUUGGAUCCGAAUUUCGAGAUAAACGAAAACCAUUUACCAGCAUCUUGCAGUCAGAUCUAAAAGUAUUGUAGAUGGACGGCGACAGCUCGUGUUUGCGACUGAAAGUCGAGUCUGCUUAAAAGAUCGAAGACUUGAUAUGUUGAUGGAACAUUUAUUUAAAGUCGUCAAAACUCCUUUCACACAACUACAUGUAUUUAAUAAGUUCUUUGUAUGUUUGCAUGGUGAUAAAAUAUAAUAGGUUUUGUUUGUGGAAACACCACGUAAAUUUAUUACUGCAAAGCUUUCGAUCCGUAAGCCCGGAUCUUCAUCAGUGCUAAUAAGUCACAUAUUAUUAGCACUGAUGAAGAUCCGGGCUUACGGAUCGAAAGCUUUGCAGUAAUAAAUUUACGUGGUGUUUCCUCAAACAAAACCUAUUACAUGUAUUUAGCCUGCAUGUGUACAUCCGUAAAUUCUCCCGUAAUUAACGUUAAUUAUACACAGGCUACCAACUAUUCAGCAUCCACUCCGAUUUAUCCGAAGCGGAGAUUGUACCAAGUAAUUUCUACUGGCGUUCAUUCUGAUGUCUGGAAAGCGCAAAAGAGAUUACCGGAAAGUACUUAUAAAGCCAUCCCACAACGCCUCACGAAGGACAGAAAACUUGAGAAGUUUGUUCUUGAUUUCGAGCAAGCUAUCCCAUUUGUUUUCUCAGGUUACACUGAUCACGCUGGAUUUUGUUGCGCCAAAAUUUAUAAACUUUCGACAUCCUUGAUCCUCCCGUAUUUGUGAAAUCAGCCUUCUGGCGUUUAGAUAUACUAACGUUUAAAGAUCAAGGAGUCAUCCAAUGUUUAUCCGUCUUCUUCACUUUAGCUAGAUUUCUUAAUUAAUUAAUUAACUGAGAAAUAGUAAUUAACUGCAGGACUAUUAUAUUUCAUCAAAUUUACUGAUAUUUUCCUUCGCAAUCAGAAAUGGAAAAAACCUCACUUAGUCGGCCCAGUCGUAGGUGGUAAUCCACUGGCCAAAUAAUCUUAGAUUACUGUAACUGAGAACCCUUUUCAGUUCAUAACUCAUGUUAGCAUGGUUGUUCGGUCUAUUCAGAAAAUCUUAACCAUGACGUGGAAAAAGUAUCAACUUGGAUGUCAGCCAACCAACUUACUUUAAACCAUUCUAAAACGGAAUACAUGAUAGUAGGUAGCAAUAGAAGAAUUAACCAAAUUGAUAUACACCCUCAUAUACAUAUUGGAGGACAUAGGAAAAUAGACAGAGUUAAAGUAACUAAAUCACUUGGUAUAAAGAUUGACGAAAAUUUGUCAUCAUGCAUGGAAUGCCCAAGUGAACCAAGUCACUAAAAAGGUCAAUGCAGGCCUCAGCAUCCUAAGACUGCUUCGAGAAAUAGUGGAUUAUAGAACACUAAUUACAAUGCAUAUGAGGGCCCCCU